UGAUUGGACCUGGGGCUGGAGCAUAGGCUCUGAGGCUCUGCAAGGGAGCAGGGUCCCACAGCUCGGGCUCCAGCCCAAGCCCUAGUGUCUACACUGCAGGUUU